rnacentral:rRNA from 1 species
UACGAAGGGGGCUAGCGUUGUUCGGAAUUACUGGGCGUAAAGCGCACGUAGGCGGAUACUUAAGUUAGGGGUGAAAUCCCAGAGCUCAACUCUGGAACUGCCUUUAAUACUGGGUAUCUCGAGUCCGAGAGAGGUGAGUGGAAUUCCGAGUGUAGAGGUGAAAUUCGUAGAUAUUCGGAGGAACACCAGUGGCGAAGGCGGCUCACUGGCUCGGUACUGACGCUGAGGUGCGAAAGCUAGGGUAGCGAACGGG